UACAGAGGUCUCAAGCGUUGUUCGGAUUCAUUGGGCGUAAAGGGUGCGUAGGCGGCGCGGUAAGUCGGGUGUGAAAUCGUCGGGGCUUAACUCCGAAACUGCAUUCGAUACUGCCGUGCUUGAGGACUGGAGAGGAGACUGGAAUUUACGGUGUAGCGGUGAAAUGCGCAGAUAUCAGGAAGAACACCCGUGGCUAAGGCGGCUCUCUAGUACGGUACUGACGCUGAGACGCGAAAGCGUGGGGAGCGAACAGG
rnacentral:rRNA from 1 species